rnacentral:rRNA from 1 species
AUUGAACGCUGGCGGCAUGCCUUACACAUGCAAGUCGAACGGCAGCAUGAUCUAGCUUGCUAGAUUGAUGGCGAGUGGCGAACGGGUGAGUAAUACAUCGGAACGUGCCCUGUAGUGGGGGAUAACUAGUCGAAAGAUUAGCUAAUACCGCAUACGACCUGAGGGUGAAAGUGGGGGACCGCAAGGCCUCAUGCUAUAGGAGCGGCCGAUGUCUGAUUAGCUAGUUGGUGAGGUAAAGGCUCACCAAGGCGACGAUCAGUAGCUGGUCUGAGAGGACGAUCAGCCACACUGGGACUGAGACACGGCCCAGACUCCUACGGGAGGCAGCAGUGGGGAAUUUUGGACAAUGGGCGAAAGCCUGAUCCAGCAAUGCCGCGUGUGUGAAGAAGGCCUUCGGGUUGUAGAGCACUUUUGUCCGGAAAGAAAUGGCUCUGGUUAAUACCUGGGGUCGAUGACGGUACCGGAAGAAUAAGGACCGGCUAACUACGUG